rnacentral:lncRNA from 10 species
AAAAAAAAAAAAGUCUAUUACCUCUCUGCUAAAUGCGAUACUUUACUAUUAUGUAAGAGCAUAUGCAAAAAAUACACAGGCAUACCAAAAGAAUAACUUUAAGUGCAUAUUAAUAAAACAUCAUAAAACGACUAUGGUUUGCUCAUUAUGGUGGGAAAUGCACACACACACACAAAGCUAGGAAACACGUUCCUGCCCUUUAGAAGUUUACCAUUAUAAAGUCCAAUUUGAAUUACAAAUUGAGAGACACAUAUGACAGACCAAAGAAAGCAUGUGCAGAAAUCAGUAUCUGUUUUCCAAACAGGACAUACCACUCUUGACCACAAUGUCGAGGAAGGCAUAGAAUGAGGUGACCACUCUCAAACCAGAUUUGGAACAAGUAAGAGGAGCCGGCAGUGGCAGUUCUUCAGAAGAAUGGUUGAGAUUAUCAGUGGGAUGCAAGUGGGCCCUCUACUUUGUCAGACAUGUUUGUUUCUCCUCAGCAGGGAGGAGAAUGGAGCAGUCCACUAAGGGAGGGACUAUUUAGUACAGAAGUCCAGAGCAGAAACUCUAAAGCCAUACUACCUGAUUUCCAACUUAGGCAAGUGACUUCAUUAAUCCACCUAUUUUUCUCAAGAGAUCCCCUUAUUUUCAAGGACAAUAAUCAAUCUAGAUGAAUCACUAAAGUGGUGAUGUUUUAUGACUUGCUUUAAAUAUUUCCAACCAGGUGUAGAUGAAGUCUUAUGUGAUGAUUCUGGAUGCAAUUGGUUUCUGCCUACUCUGGAUUCAUUUUGAAAUUAAAAUUAAUCUUUUUUGGGAGCAAUGGAAUUAUACUAAGGUGGCUUCUUUUCCUAUAAUUGAGUUUAGGCCUGUGUCUUUCUAGACCUAGGAUACAGAUGGACUCACGGGCCAUUUCCAGGUUGAUUAGGAGCAAAUAUAUUGGCUAUAGACUAGUAGUGCCAUUAGAAUGAUUUCUGUUGCCUCUAUGGUGUUUCUGCUGUAGCCUACCUCCCAGUGACAUGGCAGUCUUUUUUUUUUUUUUUUUUUUUUAGUAUUUAUUGAUCAUUCUUGGGUGUUUCUCGGAGAGGGGGAUUUGGCAGGGCAUAGGACAAUAGUGGAGGGAAGGUCAGCAGAUAAACAUGUGAACAAAGGUCUCUGGUUUUCCUAGGCAGAGGGCCCUGCCGCCUUCCACAGUGUUUGUGUCCCUGGGUACUUGAGAUUAGGGAGUGGUGAUGACUCUUAACGAGUACGCUGCCUUCAAGCAUCUGUUUAACAAAGCACAUCUUGCACUGCCCUUAAUCCAUUUAACCCUGAGUUGACACAGCACAUGUUUCAGAGAGCACGGGGUUGGUGGUAAGGUUAUAGAUUAACAGCAUCCCAAGGCAGAAUAAUUUUUCUUAGUACAGAACAAAAUGGAGUCUCCUAUGUCUACUUCCUUCUACACAGACACAGCAACAAUCUGAUCUCUCUUUCUUUUCCCCACAUUUCCCCCUUUUCUAUUCGACAAAACUGCCAUUGUCAUCAUGGCCCGUUCUCAAUGAGCUGUUGGGUACAUCUCCCAGACGGGGUGGCAGCUGGGCAGAGGAGCCCCCCACCUCCCAGAUGGGGCGGACAUGGCAGUCUUACAGAGUGAAGGGAGCAAUGGCAGAAGAAGAGCCAACAGAUGUGUUAACUUGUCUUUAAGCGGGCCACCAUCAAUUUGCUCAACUCCGGGAUAGUUGAACCUAGGCAGGCCUUAGUGACUUGUUUAAGUAAUAGAAUAUGUUGAAAAAUAUCUUUGGAGCUUCUGAAGCUAGGUUAUAAGAAGACUUGGAGCUUCUGCCUACGCCUCCUGAAACACCUACUCUUGGACCCCUGAGCCACCAUGCAAGAAAGUUUAGUCCCUGCUGGAAUGAGUUCAUGGAGAGGCUCUGAGUCUGUAUGGAGAGGGAGACAGGCCUAGCUGAGCCUACCUACUACCUGUGCCCACUAAAGCAUCAGGCAUGUGAGUAUGGUCACGUUGACCACCCCAGACCAGGUCAUCUGUCAGUUGAGUACCACUGAAGAGUGACUCCGGUUAACAGCCACAUUGACCAAAAGAAUCAACCAGCCAGAUUUUGCCUCAAUUCCUGAAUUUCAGAAAUUGUCAUUUUAAGCCACUAAGUUUUAAGGUGGUUUGCUACAUUGUAAUAGAUAAUAGAACACUGAAGAGUAAUCUGAGACAACAAGGUAAGCUAUUAGAAAAUUAUUACCACUUCCAACUAUUUAUCUUGUGAAUCAGGCAACAGAAAUGGAGAAUACAAAAUACAGAAAUAAACUGGGCAUCCUGUCUGGUUUAAGACUACAUGUCUAAUUUAAGACUAUAGUUCACACUAAUAACUUCUAAUUUUCAAUUUCUUUGCAUUUAUAAAACAGCUCUAUUAUCAUUGAUCACUUGUAUAAUUAAUACAUAUUAUACAUUUGAAUUAAGGAUAAAAUUUUGCUAACAUUAUACCACUUUUAAUCCAUUUUAUACCUUGGGGUCUCUAAUAAUAUUCUAUUUGGAAUAUUCUAUUUGGGAGAUAGUAUUUGAGCUUAAAAAUCUUGAAAACCACCAAACAAAUAUUCUUAGUGUUUCCUUCUAGCUCUAAUAUUUACAAAAUGUGUUGCAGUGGGCAUGGUGAAUUUUGAGUCACAAUCUCUAUCAAGGGUAUCAAAAACAUUUUUCUUUGUGCUUAGACAGGGCAUUUGUCUUAGAAAGGAAAGCAGAAUCAUUUGAAAAUGGCACCUGCCCCAAUAGUGGUAAAAUCACUUCCAUUUUAUGAGCAUUUAUGGCUCAUUUAAAUCUCAGUCCACAGAAGAAAUUAUGUAAGAAAUGUAUGUUUAUUUUUCAAUAACCCAAUUUAAUUUCUAUUUGAACACCCACUCCUCCAGCAUGGUGGAGACUUAAUUGUGGUCAGUUUCCCCAUUUCUUUUACCUCCCUUUCCUUGGAUUGCAUUUAAGACCUGGCGUGCUUACUUAGUUCUAAGCCUUCACAGCUGAAGAGGACAUUUGAUCACACAUGCAUCUCUAGACACCUAUUGUCCCGUCUUGUCCAUGUAUGUUAUGAAUUGAAUAUUUGUGUUAUCCUCAAAUUCUCAUGCUGAAGCCCUAACCCAAUGUGAUGGUAUUUAGAGGUGGAGCCUUUGGGAGGUAAUUAGAUUUAGAUGAUGUUAUGAGAGUGGGCCCCAUGAUGGGUUAAUGUCCUUACGAGAAGAAUAAGAGAAACUGAAGCUCACUCUCUUUCUCUCUCCACCAUGUGAAGAUGUAGUGAGAAGGUGGCCAUUCCCAACCCAAGGAGAGAACCCUCACCAGAUACUGACCCUGCUGGCAUCUUGAUCUUGGACUUCAAGGCUCCAGAACUGUGGAGUUUCUCCCUUGUUACCUGGACUAGAGUGCAAUGGCACAAUUUCGGCUCACUGCAAUCUCCGCCUCCUGGGUCCAAGCGAUUCUCCUGCCUCAGCCUCCUGAGUAGCUGGGAUUACAGGCACCCACCACCACUCCAGGCUAAUUUUUUUGUAUUUUUAGUAGAGAUGGGGUUUCACUCUGUUGGCCAGGCUGGUCUUGAACUCCUGACCUCAAGUGAUCUGCCCGCCUUGGCUGCCCAAAAUGCUGUGAUUACAGGUGUGAGCCACCAUGCCAGGCCUUUAUAGAUGUUAAGACAGAAUAAAUGCCUUUAAUUUAUAUGAUUAAUAUGUAUGAUUUAAUCCAUGAUAAAUCAAAGCAACCGUUCCAUUUUAAAAGAUCAAGUUAGGUUAAGUGCAGAAGAAUUUGACUGAGAAGCUAUGGGAGCUUAAAGAUUCAUGGCCCUUCUUUCCAUGGCUCAUUCCAAAGUCCUGGGAAGCACCCUAGCAAGAUGUUCACACAACCAUCUAAUUUUGUAAAAUUUGCAAACUUUGAGCUGCAAUUGGUUAAGAUUGCUGCUUCGCUCAGACUUUCCCUCCUCAUGCUUACCCUGGUGUCUGGCAUUUGGGGGAUGGAGUUGGCAGUCACUUCUGUGUGUAAUGAGGCAUUUCUUCGAAAGAAUCACUUCUAGAAAACUUCUGCUGUUCACCUGGCAUUGUGACACAUAGGGGCAAGACCAAAAAUCAUGUUGUGAUAUGAGUGUGUCCCAAAGCACCCAGCCCUGAGGUAUGCGCACAGUAGAAAAGAAGAAAUGAUUUAAAAAGAUGAAGCGAGAACUAGUCUGUGGAAAAUUCUUCUAAUCUUCAGAAAUGUGGAAUUAGAAGCAGAGAAUUCCCUUAUCAUUACUUAAGCAAAAUGGCUAUUCUUUCCUCUCAGGAAUAUACUUAAUAAUGCAGAUUGUACAGAGGUAAAUACACUAUAUUUUUUCUGUUGUUGGAUGAGAAUCAUGCAAGAUAAAAUUUAUCUAAUUCCUGUGUUCAUACUUUAUAAACUCUAGGAGUUUUACAAAUAGCGAUCAUGUCUCUUGGCAUACUGCAGAGUACUUCCCAAUAUGUCAGAUCACUUACAGUGUCUGACAUAUUGUGUCCUUAUAAAGUUGAGCAGUUAUUAGCCAGGUGCAGUGGCUUAAGCCUCUCAUUCCAGUUACUCAGGAGGCUGAGGCUGGAGGAUCACUUCAGCCCAGUAGUUGCUAGCCUGGGCAACCUCGAGAGACCCUGUCUCAACAAUAAAAUAAAAAAUAAUAUAAAAUAAAGAUGAGUGGCUCUAGAUGAAACAGCACACAAAACUGCUAACAACGCAGCAAUACACUGAAAAUAAGUGCUCAAGUGACAUAAUUCUUACAAACACCCAUCAACUUAGUCAAUAUAUGUAGUAUUGGAGUAGUUUGAUUAUACAUUUAGGUAGCUCAAUAUAAUAUGGCAAUAAUUUAAAACUGUAUUUGAAUUCCUCUUGUGUUACACUUAAUUUUGUAUGGUUUUCCAGUGUAUGAAGCCAAAAAAUAGGGAAAACGCAUCUAUUAGAGAGGUUUAUUGGGCAAUUAAUAAAAUAUUAUGCUAUUUUUCUG